rnacentral:rRNA from 1 species
ACCAAGGCGACGAUCGGUAGCCGGACUGAGAGGUUGAACGGCCACAUUGGGACUGAGACACGGCCCAGACUCCUACGGGAGGCAGCAGUGGGGAAUAUUGCACAAUGGGGGAAACCCUGAUGCAGCGACGCCGCGUGGAGGAAGAAGGUCUUCGGAUUGUAAACUCCUGUUGUUGAGGAAGAUAAUGACGGUACUCAACAAGGAAGUGACGGCUAACUACGUGCCAGCAGCCGCGGUAAAACGUAGGUCACAAGCGUUGUCCGGAAUUACUGGGUGUAAAGGGAGCGCAGGCGGGAAGACAAGUUGGAAGUGAAAUCCAUGGGCUCAACCCAUGAACUGCUUUCAAAACUGUUUUUCUUGAGUAGUGCAGAGGUAGGCGGAAUUCCCGGUGUAGCGGUGGAAUGCGUAGAUAUCGGGAGGAACACCAGUGGCGAAGGCGGCCUACUGGGCACCAACUGACGCUGAGGCUCGAAAGUGUGGGUAGCAAACAGGAUUAGAUACCCUGGUAGUCCACACCGUAAACGAUGAUUACUAGGUGUUGGAGGAUUGACCCCUUCAGUGCCGCAGUUAACACAAUAAGUAAUCCACCUGGGGAGUACGACCGCAAGGUUGAAACUCAAAGGAAUUGACGGGGGCCCGCACAAGCAGUGGAGUAUGUGGUUUAAUUCGACGCAACGCGAAGAACCUUACCAAGUCUUGACAUCCUGCGGCGGUGCUGGAAACAGUACUUUCCUUCGGGACGCAGAGACAGGUGGUGCAUGGUUGUCGUCAGCUCGUGUCGUGAGAUGUUGGGUUAAGUCCCGCAACGAGCGCAACCCUUAUGGUCAGUUACUACGCAAGAGGACUCUGGCCAGACUGCCGUUGACAAAACGGAGGAAGGUGGGGAUGACGUCAAAUCAUCAUGCCCUUUAUGACUUGGGCUACACACGUACUACAAUGGCGUUAAACAAAGAGAAGCAAGACCGCGAGGUGGAGCAAAACUCAGAAACAACGUCCCAGUUCGGACUGCAGGCUGCAACUCGCCUGCACGAAGUCGGAAUUGCUAGUAAUCGCAGAUCAGCAUGCUGCGGUGAAUACGUUCCCGGGCCUUGUACAUACCGCCCGUCACACCAUGAGAGCCGGGGGGACCCGAAGUCGGUGGUCUAACCGCAAGGAGGACGCCGCCGAAGGUAAAACUGGUGAUUGGGGUGAAGUCGUAACAAGGUAA